rnacentral:rRNA from 1 species
CGAACGGGUGAGUAACGCGUGAGGAACCUGCCUCAAAGAGGGGGACAACAGUUGGAAACGACUGCUAAUACCGCAUAAGCCCACGGCUCGGCAUCGAGCAGAGGGAAAAGGAGUGAUCCGCUUUGAGAUGGCCUCGCGUCCGAUUAGCUGGUUGGUGAGGUAACGGCCCACCAAGGCAACGAUCGGUAGCCGGACUGAGAGGUUGAACGGCCACAUUGGGACUGAGACACGGCCCAG